GCUAAAAUCUGGCUGGACCAGUCCA
rnacentral:misc_RNA from 1 species